AUACGGAGGAUGCAAGCGUUAUCCGGAUUUAUUGGGCUUAAAGGGUGCGUAGGCGGAUGAUUAAGCGUGAGGUGAAAUGCCACUGCUCAACAGUGGAACUGCCUCGCGAACUGGUUGUCUUGAAUGCUCCUGCCGUGGGUGGAAUGUGGGGUGUAGCGGUGAAAUGCAUAGAGAUCACACAGAACACCGAUUGCGAAGGCAUCUCACGAAGGGGUGAUUGACGCUGAGGCACGAAAGCGUGGGGAUCAAACAGGAUUAGAUACCCUGGUAGUCCACGCAGUAAACGAUGAUAACUAACCGCUGGGUCGUAGUGAUUCAGUGGCCAAGCGAAAGCGAUAAGUUAUCCACCUGGGGAGUACGACCGCAAGGUUGAAACUCAAAUGAAUUGACGGGG
rnacentral:rRNA from 1 species